UAGCCGUAGGUGAACCUGCGGCUGGAUCAUUAUCGAGCAAAAUAACAAAACUCAUGGAAUAACAUGGGUAGUGGCAGGUCGUAAAGUGCGGUGCAUUUGAGCGAUGCGCGUCAGCACGCCACAGUAACACAACGGCUAAGGUUGGCUCCUGCCUUUCGCCGAGCGAUUGUCGUCUUCUGCCGUGAUCGCGUUGAGGCGUUAGGGAAGCGCAUUUAUGCGAAGGAUUAAUGAGUACCCGAAAGUCGGUACCGCCAACCAAAAAAACCCAACUCUUUUUUUAAAAUAAAGUAACAAAUACCAGUCUUACCGGUGGAUCACUCGGUUCGU
rnacentral:misc_RNA from 1 species